UAUAGUCUGGCUUCUUAAGUAAUUUAGAAGGUAAAAGGAAUUGUUCCCUUAAGUGGGGUAACGAACGCAACCCUCGUUGCCUGUUAUAUUUGUCAGGCGAGACUGCCCCCCACCAAGCUCGGAGAGCUUGGGGGAGGAAAUACGAAGCACGAAAUCCGAAAUCCUAAACAAUAUCUAAAUUCCAAUGAAGAAAAUUCUAAACGGAGUCCCCGUUUCGGAUUUAUUAUUUGGUUAUUGAGAUUUGUUUCGAGUUUCGAUAUUCGAAUUUCGAAUUUCCAAACCAACUCUGUUGGUUUGGUGGGGGGAGGAAGGCGAGGAUGACGCCAGAUCAGCAUGGCCCUCUGAUACCUUGGGCAACACACGCAAUACAAUGGCUACUACAACACGUCGCGACGGGGUAACCCUGAGCUAAUCGUUAUAAAAGUAGCCCCAGUUCAGAUUGAGGUCUGCAACUCGACCUCAUGAAGUUGGAAUCGCUAGUAAUCGCGGGUCAGCAAACCGCGGUGAAUACGUUCUCAAGUCUUGUACUCACAAUAAAAGCGCGCAGCAGCUUGCAUAUCUACGUG
rnacentral:rRNA from 1 species